GGAAUCUUCCACAAUGGACGCAAGUCUGAUGGAGCAACGUCGCGUGAGUGAAGAAGGGUUUCGGCUCGUAAAGCUCUGUUGUUAAAGAAGAACGUGGGUAAGAGUAACUGUUUACCCAGUGACGGUAUUUAACCAGAAAGCCACGGCUAACUACGUGCCAG
rnacentral:rRNA from 1 species